rnacentral:rRNA from 1 species
UACGGGGGGGGCAAGCGUUGUUCGGAAUUACUGGGCGUAAAGGGCUCGUAGGCGGCCAACUAAGUCGGAUGUGAAAUCCCCAGGCUUAACCUGGGAACUGCAUCCGAUACUGGAUGGCUUGAAUUCGGGAGAGGGAUGCAGAAUUCCAGGUGUAGCGGUGAAAUGCGUAGAUAUCGGAAGGAACACCAGUGGCGAAAGCGGCUUCCUGGUCCAGCACCGACGUUCAGGCACGAAAGCGUGGGGAGCAAACAGG